AGACAAGGAAAGUGUACGGAUGCACAUAAUCUUCACAUCAAAUCAUCGAUGCAAUGCAUCACGAAAGUGGUGUAUGAAGGAUGUGGCGGGUCCCUGCCAGGGGACUUGCAAUGAUCGUCGUGCAUAGUCGUGUAAUAUGUG
rnacentral:misc_RNA from 1 species